CUAACCCCCGAUGUACCGCAAGGGCAAAUAUUUAUAGCCUGAAGAAGAGCUCGCGUCCGAUUAGCUAGUUGGAGGGGUAAAAGCCCACCAAGGCGACGAUCGGUAGCUGGUCUGAGAGGACGAUCAGCCACACUGGGACUGAGACACGGCCCAGACUCCUACGGGAGGCAGCAGUGGGGAAUUUUCCGCAAUGGGCGAAAGCCUGACGGAGCAAGACCGCGUGGGGGAAGAAGGCUCUUGGGUUGUAAACUCCUUUACUCUGGGAAGAACAAAAUGACGGUACCAGAGGAAUCAGCAUCGGCUAACUCCGUGACAGCAGACGCGGUAAGACGGAGGAUGCAAGCGUUAUCCGGAAUGAUUGGGCGUAAAGCGUACGCAGGUGGCAAUUCAAGUCUGCU
rnacentral:rRNA from 1 species